UAGCGCAGAAACAGAGCACUGUUGAGUAGGCCAAUAAACACGAAGUAAAUGAGAAGCAUCCUGCAGCAGGGAAAGCUGAAGUCGCGGUUCUCCAAAGGAACACGUUCGAAUGAAUUAAUUUCGUGCAAACGCAUAUCCUAUCGAAGGAAGUACAACGAGCAGUCGAUUCUGACUCACUUUUCUGACUGAAGUAAGAAGAACUUUGCCAAGUCGAGCCUUGGCUUUGUCGGGUCAUGCGUGUCGUCUAUAACUGCUGUACCGCUAAAAAAAACAGCUAUACGUAUAGAGACCGUCGAAGGUUCCGAUCGUACGAUCGGCGGUAUAACGUAUGAAUUAUUGAGUAGUCGAAGGGUCGAGUGAUACGAAGAAGAGAAUUUUUGCGAAAGAACCGACGAAAAUUUUAUCGGAACUCGGCAUUCGCGUGAAACAGCUGAAGGUUGAGAGCUUCGGCAGAUGAGUCUUCCGAGAGUAUAUCUGAAGAGAAUUAACGGUCGCGAGAGACUCUCCGCUGCGCUGCAUUAUUUAUGGAGCUAUUAGCUUUAGCUCUUCUCGCGGAACCUGUGCUGCGAUGUGCAUAGUCGAAGCGCGUUACUUAAUCUUUGGGAUGUAAAACAGUCGAAGGAUUUAGAUCGCUUUUAAAAACAAGCAAGAAACUUGUCGGGCAACUGACUUACACGCAAAUAUUCCCGAGCUAUACGAGUCCUCUAGCUCGUUUUGGCCGCUGCAUCAUUUAUAAGCUUAUUACUUACUUUCUGUUACGGAACCUGCGCGCAUAGUCAUAUAGGCUUCGGCGCAUUUCGCGCGCUAGUAUCGAUGUGGACAUCGCGGAGUAAGGAUCGUUAUGUGGCAACCGACAGUGCAAGCGACUCAACAAACUCGUUCGAAUUGCGACGGUGCCAUGUUGAGCCCCGGAAGUCGCUGGACUCCCCAGGAGUUGGAUGUUCGCGCCUGUUGCAGCUGUCUCACGGCUUCUUCUCGGCGACGAGCUUCCACCUGGGGCCUAAGCUGGUCUGCUUCCGCUGCUCUUUGCCACUCGUGAAUGAGUGAAUAAAGUGUUGUUAAACGAGAAAUCGAGUGUAGUAAUUUCUGAUUACCCCCUUGCAAACCCGAGCGGGGGAGAGAGGAUUCGGCGGAACCUUCUCCGAGAAACGCGGAGAAAACGUAUAAAAAUUAGUUGUGCGGGUCUUUGGGCCUCGUGGGAGACUUUCAAAUUUCCCCGAGUUUGGCCACGUCACAGAUAAUAAUUGCUUGUCUUUAUUCAAUUCUCUUCGACAAUCUCAUGAAAGUGUACUUUACGCGACAGUUGAAAGAAUGAUGGACUUUUCAUAGAGAUUCAAAAAAACCGCGUAUGCGUAGGCGUGAGAAAAAAAAAUUGUGUAUAUUCAUCGCUGUCAUAAGAUGAAGAUGAGCGACUUGCAUUUUUUUAUUGUACAAAUAAUCGAGUAAAAAUGCGCAAAUGAAACUCAGUUUAUAAAAUCGAUCCUUGUUUGGUAUUUUAAGAACGUACAAACAAUUUGUGAAUUAUUACUAGAUUACCAUGCGUGCAUCAAUUUUACGCGGUCUAUACCACUAUUGCUCUUCAUCUCUGAUACUUAUGCUCCUGAGAGCUGCGAAAAAUGAGACAGCACUCGUGACCAUCUGGAAAAUAAAGUUUGAAAUUAUGCAGAUAGCGAUGCAGUUACAAAAGAUACAAAGAAAAACUAACAGAUCCAAAGCUUUCGAUGGACAGCCUGACAAAACCUGCGGCUGUCAAGAUCACGGGCUUAUGGGCCCGCUGCAUCACGAUCGACAGAAUCUUGCGAUUCCCGGGACUACCGAUUCUCGACAGAUUGGCAAAGUAGGCUGCCGUCGAGACGGCUUCGCUCUGGUAAGUGGAAAAAAAUUUGGCCAUGACUAACUGCUUAUUACAGGAACAGCUAGGAUAUCAAGCUUACUUCUCGUAUCAAUUGAUCCGGAGCCCACUGGCAGAUGUAAAGUUGUACCACCAGUAUCAUCAUCGACGAUAAGGACUUGAACCUGUCAGGAUCCGACUGAAAAAUAAGCGAAACGUGAAAUUUUGAUGAAAAAAAAAAAUUCCUGGGACAAUUGAUCUGAUGACUGACACUUUUACUGGUCGAGAAUUUCAAGCCGAAGAGCGACAGCACAUAUCCGGUACAAAGGAUGUGAACCAAGUAGAGAGUCGUUACUCUAAAGUACUCUGGUGGAAUUUGCAACAGUCGUCGAUACCCUCAUCCAAUGCGUCAUCCUUACUGUCCAGCUCGCAAAUGUUAAGUAGUCGGUUUUGGACAA